CAUUCUUUCCGCAUUGGCGCUGCGACGGAGGCAUCUCGGCUGGGUAUGCCAAAUUGGGAUAUGCGGAGGAUAGGAAGGUGGGAUUCUAGGAGAUUUGUUCCUGGUUCGCUGGUUUGCUCCGUUGAUUGUUUUUUCCUUCUCGGGGCGGAUGAUUGAGCACUCAAUGGUGGUAGUUCGGUGGUUCUGCCCCGGGAGGCAUGAAGUGGG